UACGAAGGGGCUAGCGUUGUUCGGAAUCACUGGGCGUAAAGGGCGCGUAGGCGGCUGUUCAAGUUGGGGUGAAAUCCCGUGGCUCAACCACGGAAUGGCCUUCGAUACUGGACGGCUCGAGACCGGAAGAGGUGAGUGGAACUGCGAGUGUAGAGGUGAAAUUCGUAGAUAUUCGCAAGAACACCAGUGGCGAAGGCGGCUCACUGGUCCGGUUCUGACGCUGAGCGCGAAGCGUGGGAGCAACAGG
rnacentral:rRNA from 1 species